AACUAACGCUGGCGGCGUGCCUAACACAUGCAAGUCGUACGAGAAAGCCGGCUUCGGCUGGUGAGUAAAGUGGCGCACGGGUGAGUAACGCGUGGAUAAUCUGCCCUUAAGUGUGGAAUAACGUACCGAAAGGUGCGCUAAUACCGCAUAAUGCCUGGCAACACAAGUUGUCCGGCCAAAGAAGGCCUCUGUUUACAAGCUUUCGCUUCAGGAUGAGUCCGCGUACCAUUAGCUUGUUGGUGGGGUAAUGGCCUACCAAGGCUGCGAUGGUUAGCUGGUCUGAGAGGAUGAUCAGCCACACUGGAACUGAGACACGGUCCAGACUCCUACGGGAGGCAGCAGUGAGGAAUAUUGCGCAAUGGGGCAACCCUGACGCAGCAACGCCGCGUGAGUGAGGAAGGUUUUCGGACUGUAAAGCUCUGUCGAGCGGGAAGAAGUGUACCAUGGCUAAUAUCCAUGAUAUUUGACGGUACCGCUAGAGGAA
rnacentral:rRNA from 1 species